rnacentral:rRNA from 1 species
GUAGGCCACAAGCGUUGUCCGGAAUUACUGGGUGUAAGGGGAGCGCAGGCGGGAAGACAAGUUGGAAGUGAAAUCUAUGGGCUCAACCCAUAAACUGCUUUCAAAACUGUUUUUCUUGAGUAGUGCAGAGGUAGGCGGAAUUCCCGGUGUAGCGGUGGAAUGCGUAGAUAUCGGGAGGAACACCAGUGGCGAAGGCGGCCUACUGGGCACCAACUGACGCUGAGGCUCGAAAGUGUGGGUAGCAAACAGGAUUAGAUACCCUGGUAGUCCACACCGUAAACGAUGAUUACUAGGUGUUGGAGGAUUGACCCCUUCAGUGCCGCAGUUAACACAAUAAGUAAUCCACC